AAAGAAUGGGGAGCGAACAGGAUUAGAUACCCUGGUAGUCCAUGCCGUAAAUGAUGAGUGUAGUUCGCCCUUGGUCUACGCGGAUCAGGGGCCCAGAUAACGCGUGAAGAACCU
rnacentral:ncRNA from 1 species